CACCCUGCAGCUGUGAGCCAAAAUAAACCGUUCCUUAAAGAGCUCCUGCCUGACAGGAAUUGUGCUAGCAACAGAUCGCCUAUCCUGAGACCUUUGGACUUCCAUAUGAAUUUGAAGGUCAGCUUAUCAAGAUUUGGAAAGACAGCUCAGAACAACACAGUUGCUGCUCUCCUGGCCAGUGGAGCCCCUACCAUCGAGCACAGAGGGAAGCGUCCUUCCUAUCCUCACCCUCUACUCCAAACUCCUGCUCUCCUAUUGUAAAGGGAUGGGAGGAGAACGGUGGUAAAGGAGGAGUGGGCAUGACUGGCUCCUCCAGGUGCUGGAUAAAGCUACUCCAGCAAGAUAAAGCUACUCCAGCAGGAAGAGAUGCUCAGCAGAUGGGAGAGUGUACCACAGAUGGGAGAGUGUACCACAGAUGGGAGAGUGUACCACAGAUGGGAGAGUGUACCACAGAUGGGAGAGUGUACCACAGAUGGGAGAGUGUACCACAGAGGGUUCAGCUUCCAGGUCCCACAUAGCGGCUCAUAACGAUCUGUAACUUCAGUUUCAGUGACCAGCGCCCUCUUCUGGACUCUCUGGGCAUGUGGGGCACGGACAUACACGCAAGCAAAACAUCCUUACACAUUUAAAGAGUUUAAACUACAAAAGCUGUUCUUAUCUGUGGGUGCUGCCUGUGUUUUCUGGGACACCUUUCCAGAUCGACCCCAACUUCAGCAAAUGGUAGCCCCUAUGUUUCGAUGGCUCUGAUUUUCUUCCCUCUGGCACACGCAGACCCAUUCUAUGGGGGCUCCCCUCACAGGAUCCGUUUUUUUACC